GCAGUCGAGCGAAUCGAUGGGAGCUUGCUCCCUGAGAUUAGCGGCGGACGGGUGAGUAACACGUGGGCAACCUGCCUAUAAGACUGGGAUAACUUCGGGAAACCGGAGCUAAUACCGGAUACGUUCUUUUCUCGCAUGAGAGAAGAUGGAAAGACGGUUUACGCUGUCACUUAUAGAUGGGCCCGCGGCGCAUUAGCUAGUUGGUGAGGUAAUGGCUCACCAAGGCGACGAUGCGUAGCCGACCUGAGAGGGUGAUCGGCCACACUGGGACUGAGACACGGCCCAGACUCCUACGGGAGGCAGCAGUAGGGAAUCUUCCGCAAUGGACGAAAGUCUGACGGAGCAACGCCGCGUGAACGAAGAAGGCCUUCGGGUCGUAAAGUUCUGUUGUUAGGGAAGAACAAGUACCAGAGUAACUGCUGGUACCUUGACGGUACCUAACCAGAAAGCCACGGCUAACUACGUGCCAGCAGCCGCGGUAAUACGUAGGUGGCAAGCGUUGUCCGGAAUUAUUGGGCGUAAAGCGCGCGCAGGUGGUUCCUUAAGUCUGAUGUGAAAGCCCACGGCUCAACCGUGGAGGGUCAUUGGAAACUGGGGAACUUGAGUGCAGAAGAGGAAAGUGGA
rnacentral:rRNA from 1 species